UGGCGGACGGGGAGGUAAUGUCUGGGAAACUGCCUGAUGGAGGGGGAUAACUACUGGAAACGGUAGCUAAUACCGCAUAACGUCGCAAGACCAAAGAGGGGGACCUUCGGGCCUCUUGCCAUCGGAUGUGCCCAGAUGGGAUUAGCUAGUAGGUGGGGUAAAGGCUCACCUAGGCGACGAUCCCUAGCUGGUCUGAGAGGAUGACCAGCCACACUGGAACUGAGACACGGUCCAG
rnacentral:rRNA from 1 species